rnacentral:lncRNA from 1 species
GAGAUUCCAAGAUGAUAUCAGAUGGCUUUCUUCUGUGAAGGUGAAAUAAAUUUUCCAGAUCGCGCAUCCUCCGAUUUUUCCAGAUCGCGACACAGUCAAGAACAACGAUCGCAAUCGAUGAAGGAAAUCGACAUGAUUCCACUUCCAGAUCGGGUUCUUCCAGAUCGCGUUUAUUGACCGACCUGCAAUCGUGUUCUUCGUGAUUUCUAGAUUGUAAUAUAUGAAUUACAUUACUAGAGAUUUUAUUUUCAGAAUCUUAAACUUUCAGAAAAUUGAUUGGUUAAACUAAUCCCAGG